rnacentral:lncRNA from 1 species
GGCUAAGCUGAAGGAUGCAGCAGAGAGAUGGAUCAGACACCUUGUCAAGCAACGUGUUCUUUGUCUCCAAAAUCAAAGCCUGCUUUUCAUCCUGAGAAAUUCAGGGUUUGGCAUCUUGGAGGCACACGGUAUAGCCUGAGACGGAAUGGACCAGCUGUCAAGGGAGCUGAACAAACAGUGAAGGAAUUGAGAAACAAUCACUGGGUUUGCCCCAGUUGAGGAACUCUUCAAACUGCAAGCUCCAUGAUGGCAUAGAUUUGUUUGCCUCUUUGCUCAUGGUUGUGUCCACCUCGAGUUCUAGCACAGUGCCUGGCACAAAGUAAGUGCUCAAUAAACAUUUCUGGAAUGAGUGAUUGACCCUAAGCACUGAACUUGCAGAGUCCAGAGAUUGGCUCAGGGAGCAUGUCCUUUGUCACAUGUGGCACAACUCUGUGGCACCAGCCCCUGGCAGGAUUAGAGCCCUUCACUAAUAAGCCAAUGGAAUCAGCUUGGACCCCACUUGGUGACUUUCUGCUGUCUUGCUGCCUCAUGCUCCAGUCCCAAAAUGACCUUCAAAACCUAUCUCCAUCGCUGCACUGCUCAAAAUCCUUCAGUGGCUCUCUGCUCUUCCCAGACAAAAUAAAGCAACGUUUUUGUUGCAUGUGACAAGGCAUGAACUAUCUUCAUUUCUUUUCCAUUUGAGAGCUCAUGUUUUGCAGCAGGAAAUUUGUAGCCAACGUUGGUCUGAUACAGUGAGGGUACAACUGCUCACUGAUACAGUGAGGUUACCUGGCUUGCGUCCUACACUCAUUGCUAUGAUUUGAAUGUUUUGUCUUCUCCAAAAUCAUGUUGAAACUUAAUCCCCAAUGCAGCAGUUUUGGGAGGUGGGGCUCCACCCUCAUGAAUAGAUUAAUGCCACUAUGAAAAGGGUUUGCUAAAGUGUAUUCACUCUCUUCUGCUUGUCUGCCAUGUGAGGACACAGAGUUCACCCCUCUCUUGCCCUUCCACCUUCUGCCAUGUGAAGAUGCAGUAAGAAGGCCCACACCAGGUACCAGCAUAUUGAUCUUGGACUUUCCAGCCUCCAGAACUGUAAAAGGAUACAUUUCUGUUCUUUACAAAUUGCUGGGUUUCAGGUAUUCUGUUAGAGCAGCAGAAAACGAACUAAGACACUCAAUCUCAAGUUCUUCCUUUUGCUCUCCAAUCUGGGCCUCCAAAUCCUCCAUCCAGUGCCCACCAAGUCCCCCGGCUAUCACGCCUUGGGCAUUGUCUCCUUUGCUAUGCAUCAUACACCUUGAUAUAGUUUGGAUAUUUGCCUCUCCCCUGAAAAUCUCAUGUUGAAAUGUAAUCCCCAAUGUUGGAGGUGGAGCUAGUGGAAGGUGUUUAUGUCAUAGGGGUGGAAGCCUCAUGAAUGGCUUGGUGCCCUCCCCAUGGUAAUGAGUUACCACAAGAUCUGGUUGUUUUAAAAGGGACUGACACCUCUUUCCCACUCUCACUUGCUCCAUCUUGUGACAUGCCUGCUCCCCCUUCACCUUCUGCCAUAAUUGGAAGCUUCCUGAGGUCCUCCCCAGAAGCAGAUGCUGGCGCCAUCCCUCCUGUAUAGCCUCCAGAAUUGUAAGCCAAAAUAAAC